rnacentral:rRNA from 1 species
GUAGGUGGCAAGCGUUGUCCGGGAAUUAUUGGGGCGUAAAGCGCGCGCAGGCGGUUUUUAAGUCUGAUGUCGAAAGCCCACGGGCUCAACCGUGGAGGGUCAUUGGAAACUGGAGAACUUGAGUACAGAAGAGGAAAGCGGAAUUCCACGUGUAGCGGUGAAAUGCGUAGAGAUGUGGAGGAACACCAGUGGCGAAGGCGGCUUUCUGGUCUGUAACUGACGCUGAGGCGCGAAAGCGUGGGGAGCAAACAGGAUUAGAUACCCUGGUAGUCCACGCCGUAAACGAUGAGUGCUAAGUGUUAGGGGGUUUCCGCCCCUUAGUGCUGCAGCUAACGCAUUAAGCACUCCGCCUGGGGAGUACAGCCGCAAAGGCUG